CUCCCGGUUGGCUGCCGUGUUGCUGCCUGCCGCCGCAUCCUUUGCGACCUCUGGUGCCUUCUUUGCGCUCCAAGACUAAUCUCAUAGAUGCGAUAUCGCUUCAUAAGUUUCCGAAAGUCUUGGAUCCCAUUUUCCUGAACCCAGGCCCUGUCAGUGAAAGCACCGAGCCCUAACCAGUGGACUUCCAGGGAAUUCCCUGACUGGUGUCUUCAUUAAGAGGAAAUGUGGAUACAAAAGAAGACACCAGGGGCUGCAUGCACAGAUGAAAGACCAAGUGAAGACACAGAGAAAAUGUAGCCAUCUGUAAGCCAAGGAGAGAGGCCUCAGAGUUAAACUAAACCUGCGGACGUUGAUCUUGGACUUCUAGCCUCCAAAACUGUGAAGAAAAUGCAUUUCUGCUGUUCAAGCCGCCCAAUUUGUGGUACUUGGUAAUGGCAGCCCUACUAACACCACCACCCACUUUGCAUGACCCUGGCUUUUUUCUUUACUCCAGGCCCCAAGGGGCUGUGAAAAUUGCAGCUCAUGUUCGCUGGAUCUGUCAUACACACUCAAAGAGAAGAGAUUUCUGUGUUCCCUGUCUGUUUCUGAGAUUCCACAUUGACUUUGGCCCAAUGAUUCCUUAUUACCUUGUCAUCUCUUUAAUGGUUUUAAGAAGUUUUGUUUGUUUUAAAAUAGUAUCCAGCAUUUUUAGUUGUUUUGUGUGAGACAGUCUAUCUGAACACCUCCCUCCACAGAUCAGCUUUGCUGGAGCUGAAGUUCCAUUUAGGGGGGAGAAUUAAUGUACUAAAAAUGUCAACAGUCCCAAUAAUGGAAGUCCUCAAGAAGGAAAUGGGGAGAGAGAGGGAGGCAAGUGGACUAAAAGGGAGGGGAGAGAGUGGGAGAGGGAGAAGGAAAGAGAAAUAGAAGAAAAGGCAAGAAAUAAUGGAUGUAUCCUGAGACAAAAAAGAUGGAAAAGUGAAGGACAACCUCAAGUCUUCAAGUCUGGGAAGAGAGAGAAUGGUGAUUUCUAUUAAGAAGUAUAGAAUAGAAGUGAAUUUUCAGAUAACGAGCAUGGGUACUGUUCUGAGUGGUAGUAAGUCUUCAUACAGAGAAGGUGAUGGCACCCUACUCCAGUACUCUUGCCUGGAAAAUCCAUGGACGGAGGAGCCUGGUAGGCUACAGUCCAUGGGGUCGCUAAGAGUCAGACACGACUGAGUGACUUCACUUUCACUUUUCAUUUUCAUGUAUAGGAGAAGGAAAUGGCAACCCACUCCAGUGUUCUUGUUUGGAGGAUCCCAGGGACGGGGGAGCCUCGUGGGCUGCUGUCUAUGGGGUCGCAGAGUCAGACAUGACUGAAGCGACUUAGCAGCAGCAGCAGCAAGACUUCAUAGGGUAAGACAGGAAUAACAUUUUCAGUCAAGUGAGAGUUAUCAUAUGGUAAAUAUAAAUCUUAGUGUAGAAACUCAUGUAACAAGAAAUGUAAUUUUAUUUUUUUCCAUAACUCAAUUUAUUUUUUAUUAUUUCCAGACCAAGGAAUAUUUAUGUGGCCUAAGGGUUGAGUAGCCAUCAUUUAAUCUUCCAAACCUAUUGUCCAUACCCUGAGGCUAGAAGUGGUUUUUUUACCACCCUGACAUCUAGGUUUUAAAAUUCAAAAGACAAGAAUUGACUCCUUUCUUUUUCCUGUUUUCUACUUUGUUAUUGGCAUUAUAGUUAGCAAUGGCUAUCAACAGCAGAAAGCUUGAAUAUCACUGGCUUAAUAAAGAGUUGUUUCUCUUACGUACCAAGAUGUCCAGGGGUAAGCAGACUGGUACUGGUUGAGUGAAGUCAGGGCUGAUGACUCUUAGCUUCUGCUUAAAUAGAUUCUUUUUGUGAAUUUAGGAAUUGUCUAUUUUUACCACAAAGUAGCAGUAGCAGGGGAUGGGGAGAGAAAUGUUUGCACUUUCCUAAAC
ensembl:lncRNA